GUGGGGAAUAUUGCGCAAUGGGCGAAAGCCUGACGCAGCGACGCCGCGUGGGUGAUGAAGGCCUUCGGGUUGUAAAGCCCUGUCGAGUGGGACGAAACGUGCGAGCUCUAACAUAGCUCGUGCCUGACGGUACCACGAGAGGAAGCCCCGGCUAACUCCGUGCCAGCAGCCGCGGUAAUACGGAGGGGGCUAGCGUUAUUCGGAAUUAUUGGGCGUAAAGGGCGUGUAGGCGGUCGAACAUGUCUCAUGUGAAAGCCCUCGGCUCAACCGAGGAACUGCAUGGGAAACGGUGCGACUUGAGUCCGGGAGAGGAUAGUGGAAUUCCCAGUGUAGCGGUGAAAUGCGUAGAUAUUGGGAGGAACACCGGUGGCGAAGGCGGCUAUCUGGACCGGUACUGACGCUGAGACGCGAAAGCCAGGGGAGCAAACGGGAUUAGAUACCCCAGUAGUCC
rnacentral:rRNA from 1 species